rnacentral:rRNA from 1 species
CAGCCGCCGCGGUAAUACGGAGGGGGCUAGCGUUGUUCGGAAUUACUGGGCGUAAAGCGCACGUAGGCGGCUUUGUAAGUUAGAGGUGAAAGCCUGAUGCUCAACAUCAGAAUUGCCUUUAAGACUGCAUCGCUUGAACGUCGGAGAGGUGAGUGGAAUUCCGAGUGUAGAGGUGAAAUUCGUAGAUAUUCGGAAGAACACCAGUGGCGAAGGCGGCUCACUGGACGACUGUUGACGCUGAGGUGCGAAAGCGUGGGGAGCAAACAGGAUUAGAUACCCGCGUAGUCCCUGUCUCUUAUAC